UCUGAGAUUGGAUUUACUGCAGGCCCAGUGCUCUGUCCCUUGCAGCACCAAGCUGCCAAAGAGUAGAUGGAAAGAGCUUUUAGACAGAAGAAGCCCUUAACAGAGCCAAUAACUGAACAACAGAAAGUUCAUAAAUCAUGGGUUGAGAGAUCGAAGUGACUUUGAGGCCAUUGAAUCCUGUCCUAUUAGUUUUACAGAGGCUAAUUCCAGUGCUCAAGGAAGAGAGACAGGAAGAAGCAGCAUGAGCAGUGCAUGUGACCAGAUGCGCCAGAACAGCCUGGGCAAUGAGAGACAGAAGCCAACACUGCAUGGAAUCAGCUCAGCACCACCAGCUGCUAGUAAGUCAGCAGCUGCCUGGGAAACAGAAGGAGUUAACAGCUAUAUUUUUAACUCAGCACCCAUGGGAGUAAAUGACAGUGUCUAACGUAUGCAUUAAUACACGGUGAAGUAUUUUGGAAAGGAAAAAAAAACCUGGUUCUUCCUCUUCAACUUUAUAAAGCAUGGAAAAGGGCAGUUACUUCAACAAGAGUCCGUCAUCCUGGGUUCCAGCCAGCCGAGCCUUUUGGAGGAAGCCCUAGUUACUGAGCACACACCAGAAGUUCUGUAUCUGAUCAAUAAGGUACCAUUUAUUAUGACUGUUCUCCUUAGCCCCCUCCUCCCAAGCCAAAGGUUACAUACUAUAUGCAUGUGGAUCACCUGCUAUUCUAUAUAUUUGACUUACUCAUGCUAUUACUCCCUUCACCUGAACAGACCCAUUUCCUUUUCUCCAUUAUUCUAUGUCGCUUUGUAUUAAAACUUGGCUCAGAAUUCAUCUUUGGGAAAUUGUCCAUAGUUAAUUCACCUGACCAUUCACUCAUCUAACUCCAUAUCCUCUUGACAUUUAUGCACUUAGUUUGUGCUACAUUUAUUUGUUCUUGCUUUGUGAACAUUAAAUUGCACUUGCUGAUGUAUAAUUCUAUUGGAAAAUGCUCUUCAGUUUUUCACUCUGUGUGUAUUAUUUCCCCUAAUGGAUUGCAUACUUCUUGAGUGCAGGAAGUCCAUCU